AUGAAAUGAAAACCCGGUUCAUAGGAAAUUAUUACACACCACGAUACUAAAGUGUUUACUUUGUGGUUAAGUACGUUCCGGAAAUGAAUUCCCUUCAUAAAAUUUUCACAAUAUCGUCAUUUCAUGCAUUGACAUCCUUAAACAACGUUGGUCGACGGUUUUGGUCGGUUGAUUCGGAGGAAAAACUGAUUGAUAUUACUUAUUGAAUUAGAUUGCUUUCAGAAACCACAAUGGCUAAAUGAACAAACGAAUUAAUGAAAAAUCAUCUGCCCAGAUCAUUGGACUGCAGUAUCUGCUGCUGUAGACUCGAGGAUUAUGAUUAAUUAACAGUCGAUUAAAAAUUUUCUUUUGAUUUCCAAUAACUAACUUUCUCGGGUAAUUUAGACCAUUUUUCAUUAAUAUUUCAAUUAAGAAACGAUAUAUUUACUUUCUAAAUGGUGUCACAAAGUAAAAUGAAUUAAAUAUGAAUAAGAUACAAUGAACUUUUAA